rnacentral:lncRNA from 1 species
UUGUAAUUCGCGCCACGCCUAUCAUUUAAUAUUGGAGCAGGUGUUCCGCUAGCGGAACGUCUAGAUGUAAGAGGUUAAGAAUAAGUAAAGACACAUUCCCAUGACGACAAAUCUGACCUCUCCCCUCUCUGGGCCCCAAGUGUCUGAGCCCCAGCUAAGGUAGACGUGCAACGGAGAAGACACCAGAGUCCAAUGGACACUUUCUAAUGACAAGUACCUCAAAUAAGCAUAUUAUACUAAUAAAACAUCUUAAUUAUCUAUGUUACCCAACUAAUUCUGAUUCGUCCACGACAACGGGCACUCUCAAAGAUAUCAUCCUAACAAACCUGCCAUCCAAAUACACCUCUGCUGUCUUCAACCAGGAUCUCAGUGCUCACUGCCUCAUUGUUUGCGUCCGUAAUGGGUCUGCGGUCAAAUAACCACCAAUAAUCACUGUAAAACGCUCCCUAAAACCUUUCAGCGUGCAGGACUUUCUAAUCGACCUGCACUGAGGCUAGGAAACACUGUCAACACCGAUAAAUCCACGAUAAUUGAGAAUUUCAUUAAGCAUUUUUCUACCGCUGUCCAUGCUUUCAACCUGGCCACCUCUACCCCGGUCAACAGCCUUGUACUGCCCACAGCAACUUGCCCAAGCCUCCCCCAUUUCUCCUUCACCCAAAUCUAGAUAGCCGAUGUUCUGAAAGAGCUGCAAAAUCUGGACCCCCUACAAAUCAGCUAGACAACCCUCUCUUUCUAAAAUGAUCCGCCACAAUUGUUGCAACCACUAUUACUAGCCUGUUCAACCUCUCUUUUGUAUCGUCUGAGAUCCCCAAAGAUUGGAAAGCUGCCGCGGUCAUCCCCAUCUUCAAAGGGGGUGACACUCUAGACCCAAACUGUUACAGACCUAUAUCUAUCCUGCCCAGCCUUUCCAAGGUCUUCGAAAGCCAAGUUAACAAACAGAUCACUGACCAUUUCGAAUCCCACUGUACCUUCUCCGCUAUGCUAUCUGGUUUCCGAGCUGGUCAUGGGUGCACCUCAGUCACGCUCAAGGUCCUAAAUGAAAUCAUAACUGCCAUCGAUUAGAGACAAAACUGUGCAGAUAUAUUCAUCGAGCUGGCCAAGGCUUUCGACUCUGUCAAUCACCUCAUUCGUAUCGGCAGACUCAACAGCCUUGGUUUCUCAAAUGACUGCCUCGCCUAGUUCACCAACUACUUCUCAGACAGAGUUCAGUGUGUAAAAUCGGAGAGCCUGUUGUCCGGACCUCUGGCAAUCUCUAUGGGGGUGCCACGGUUCAAUUCUCGGGCCGAAUCUCUGUAUACAUCAGUGAUAUAGCUCUGGCUGCUGAUGAUUCUCUGAUCCACCUCUAUGCAGACGACACCAUUCUGUAUACUUCUGGCCCUUCUUGGACACUGUGUUAACUAACCUCCAGACGAGCUUUAAUGCCAUACAACUCUCCUUCUGUGGCCUCCAACUGCUCUUAAAUGCAAGUAAAACUAAAUGCAUGCUCUUCAACCGAUCGCUGCCCUCAAAUACCUAGGUGUCUGGUUAGAUUGUAAACUUUCCUUCCUGACUCACAUUAAACAUCUCCAACCCAAAAUGAAAGGAUGCUUUGUUGUGAAAUAGACAGCCGAUUCUAGAUUUAAUUUUGGAAUGGAGAAGCUAUAUUUGAGUCUGGAAGGAGAGUUUACAGUCUAACCAGACAGCUUUCCAAUCUUUGGGGAUCUCAGACGAUACGAAAGAGAGGUAGAACAGGCUAGUAAUAGGGGUUGCAACAAUUGCGGUGGAUAAUUUUAGAAAGAGAGGGUCCAGAUUGUCUAGCCCAGCUGAUUUGUAGGGGUCCAGAUUUUGCAACUCUUUCAGAACAUCAGCUAUCAAGAUUUGGGUGAAGGAG